AAUGUGAAGACCCUGAGAACAGUCCUUUGCAUAUACUGCAGGUUGAACUUUCAGAGGAAGUCUCUAACUCCAGAUUCUUUGCUGCUAUGAUUCAUUAUUUCAUCAAUGUGGAUUUUUUCAGAGAAAAUAUUAUGCAUCUAUAAUAACAUUCUGAAACUGUUUAGAAGAAUGCAAAAUAAAUGUUAAUG